ensembl:snoRNA SNORD49A small nucleolar RNA, C/D box 49A
UGCUCUGAUGAAAUCUCUUAUAGGAAGUGCCGUCAGAUGCGAUAACUGACGAUAACCAUUCCUGGCUGACU